rnacentral:ncRNA from 1 species
GGCCACCUUUCAAAAGGGGGCUUGAACAUAGGCGGAGAUGCCCGAAGGGCCUUCGCCGUUAGCAAACGGAAGACAGAAA